GUAACACGUACUCCAACCUUCCCAUAACUCAGGGAUAGCCUUUCGAAAGAAAGAUUAAUACCUGAUAGUACUUUUUUCAAGGCAUCUUGAGAAAGUUAAAGAUUUAUUGGUUAUGGAUGGGGAUGCGUUCCAUUAGAUAGUUGGUGAGGUAACGGCUCACCAAGUCUUCGAUGGAUAGGGGUUCUGAGAGGAAGGUCCCCCACAUUGGUACUGAGACACGGACCAAACUCCUACGGGAGGCAGCAGUGAGGAAUAUUGGUCAAUGGGCGAGAGCCUGAACCAGCCAAGUAGCGUGAAGGAAUGAAGGUCCUAUGGAUUGUAAACUUCUUUUAUAGUAGAAUAAAGUGAUCCACGUGUGGAUUUUUGUAUGUAUACUAUGAAUAAGGAUCGGCUAACUCCGUGCCAGCCGCCGC
rnacentral:rRNA from 1 species